UACGUAGGCAGCAAGCGUUGUUCGGAGUUACUGGGCGUAAAGGGUGUGUAGGCGGUUGUUUAAGUUUGGUGUGAAAUCUCCCGGCUCAACCGGGAGGGUGCGCCGAAUACUGAGUGACUAGAGUGCGGGAGAGGAAAGUGGAAUUUCUGGUGUAGCGGUGAAAUGCGUAGAUAUCAGGAGGAACACCGGUGGUGUAGACGGCUUUCUGGACCGUAACUGACGCUGAGACACGAAAGCGUGGGUAGCAAACAGG
rnacentral:rRNA from 1 species